rnacentral:lncRNA from 1 species
AUUUUUCAGGUAGUAGAAGCCAAACUCUUAACAGAUGGGAAAAUGAAUGAAAGUUGAAGCCCAGACUGCUGUCUCACAAGCCCUCAUGCCUCCAGGGCCAGGUAUGGUGGCGCAUGCCUUUAAUCCCAGCUACUCGGGAGGCUAAGGUGGGAGGAUCACUUGAGACCAGGAGUUUGAGACCAGCCUGGGCAACAUAGUGAGACCCCAAUCUCUAAAAAAAAUUAAUUUAAAAAUAAAAAGUAGUACAUCCAGUAAGUGGGAAGAGGAGAGAUGCGAAACGCUAUUUUGUGUCUCUCCUAAGUGGAGAGGAGAGAAGCUAUUGGAGAGCUGGCUCCAAGUGAGCACCCACCAAAGAGAAGGGCCAACUGAUGGAGCAAACUGCUGAAGAAGAGGGGAAGUGCUGGAACCCCGAGCCCAAGUAGCAGAGUCUGCCAGGAAAGGCACACCUGCUCCUUCCUCUUCAACAACAGGAAGGACCAGCACGCUUAUAGAUGUCUGCACAGAGGAGAUCAGGAGACCUGAUGGCCUCGGCAUUUUCUGGGAAGUGAGGGGGAAAGUCUUUCUGUACAUAGCACCAAUACCUGGUACACAGCAAGUGCUGUUAUCAUUUACUGAAGGAAUGAAUCCUGGGGCUACAGCAUAACCCACAAGGAGCCUAGAAUCUGGUCCCUGCCCAAGUCACCACUCCAAGCUGUUGCCUUUCUCCCCUAUACCUUUCAUCAAUCUGUCCUCAUCUCAGAUGGAAACAUGAGCUACCAGCACACAAAACAUGAGCUACCAGCACAUAAACAUGAGCUACCAGCACACAAAAUAUGAGCUACCAGCACAUAAAUAUGAGCUAUCAACACAUAACAUGAGCUAUCAGCACACAAUCUGUCCUCACCUCAGAUGGAAACAUGAGCUACCAGCAUACAAAUGUGCUACUUGCACAAAGGCAAGUACAUGCCCACAUACCAAACACACACACACACACACACACACACACACACACACACCCUAUAUGCCCAUGAGAAGGAGGGAAAAAAGGAACUCUUAUGCCUAAGCCCCAGAGAAUGAAAUAUUGUGGUCUAUUAUCAGUGACACAGAGACACAGUACCUUGAUGAAGCAAAGAUGGAUGCAUUGAGGCCCCCAAAGCAGGACAGGGCAACAGCAAUGGGGAUGGUCCAGCUGAACAUGCCAAACGUCUGGUCAGCAAAUGUCUGGGGGCAGGGCACAGAAAAGGCACUUAAACGCACAGGGUUUCAUAAUCCUCCUGCAUCUAUGAUCUCGGAACAAAUGCAAUCACUGCUAAGCAGCCCACCCUCUGGCCUAGACUCAUGACCUCAUCCUGCAGAGCUGAGGAGGGUGCAGUAAGACAGACUGAGCUGUGCAGGGUGGCUCAGUAUCAGGAGAUGAUGAACAAAUGGGGAUCCCAAGAGACUCACCACAGCCACAGCAUCACUGCUAAGGACAUCUGAAAUGUUCAGCACUGUGUAAUAGGCCACAUUGGUCAGGAUGUAGAUGAGCGUCACAAUUGGCAUAGAAAUCCCAAUGGCCAAGGGCAAAUUUCUGUCAGGACAAGUGAGAAAGGACUACCUAGAACCAACCUCUCCUUGGGAACAAAGUUUAUCAAGUCUCCACUGGGAUUUUCCUAACAUUUAACAGUUCACUAGCCUCCAAGUCUUUGAGGGAGGCUCACCUUCCCCUUGACCCUGGGUUCUUUCUAUUGAGAAAGACCCAACUUUCUCUGUGAAGAUAGCUCAUGAUCAAUAUUUAAUCUUUGCCACAGUAGGACCAAUGGGUCCUACUGGGUUUCAUAAUCCUCCUGCAUCUGUGAUCUCAGAGGAACAGUGCAAGGAACAGUGUCCUGGGGACUGGAUGCCAGGCUGGGGACCCAGCUGGCCAGAAUAAGUUUUGGUUCUGCGGGCUGUAGUGUCAGCACCAGAGUCCGAGGUCCUAAUUCCUUUGCCCCAGCUGGGCCUGCUGCUCCCCACUGAAGGCCCUCUCCUCUAGGAAGGCCCUAUCCUCCAGUGCGAACGUGAGGACAGGGAGCCGAAGGCUUUCCUACCUUCACUCACUCCCAUUCUAGCCCUCAGCCCCUCCUAGCUGGAGAAGGGGGAGUAGGGAGAAGAGGGGAGGAGAGUCGGAGGGAGGAGGAGAAGGAUGAGGGCAGGCACGCCCACUAUCAGCAGGAGUUCCAGCCAAGCUGGGGAGUGAGAGUGUGAUCCCAUCUUUACCUUUCUGGGUUUUUGAUUUCUUCUGUUACAAAAUUAAGGGUGUCCCAACCUGAGUAAGAGAAGAGGGCAGAGUAGAGGGCAAGAGAGAGGUUUCCCAUGUCCCAGGAGGAACCCUCAAAGGCGUCCUGAAAGUGCUCAGAGUGUCCUGUGGGGGCAAAGGCAGGUGAGGGGUUCAGAGAGAAGGAACAGGCCAAAGGAGAAAGGAAGAGGAGAUGGGAGGUGUAAGAGAAAGAUACGAAAGGAGAAUAGGAAAGAGGAAGGGAAGAUGAAAAAAAGGAGGAAUGGGGAGGAACAAGAAAGAAAAAACAAGAAGGCAGGGGAAAGAAAAAAAAACAUAAUUUAACACCAAAAGAUCAACAACCACUAGCUCCCUACACUUUACCACCCCACCCACUUCCUCAGGAAAGCUCACAUUCCUUUAAUAAAACUAGACAAUAAAAAACCAAAGACAUUC